rnacentral:rRNA from 1 species
ACUCAAAGGAAUAGACGGGGGCCCGCACAAGCGGCGGAGCAUGCGGAUUAAUUCGAUGCGACGCGAAGAACCUUACCUGGGUUUGACAUGGGCGGUAAUCCGGCAGAGAUGUCGGGUCCUUUUAGGGCCGUUCACAGGUGGUGCAUGGCUGUCGUCAGCUCGUGUCGUGAGAUGUUGGGUUAAGUCCCGCAACGAGCGCAACCCUUGUCCGAUGUUGCCAGCGGGUUAUGCCGGGGACUCAUCGGAGACUGCCGGGGUCAACUCGGAGGAAGGUGGGGAUGACGUCAAGUCAUCAUGCCCCUUAUGUCCAGGGCUUCACGCAUGCUACAAUGGCCGGUACAAAGGGCUGCGAUACCGUGAGGUGGAGCGAAUCCCAAAAAGCCGGUCUCAGUUCGGAUCGGGGUCUGCAACUCGACCCCGUGAAGUCGGAGUCGCUAGUAAUCGCAGAUCAGCAACGCUGCGGUGAAUACGUUCCCGGGCCUUGCACACACCGCCCGU